rnacentral:misc_RNA from 1 species
GAUGAAGAACGCAGCGAAAUGCGAUAGGUAAUGUGAAUUGCAGAAUUCAGUGAAUCAUCGAAUCUUUGAACGCACAUUGCGCCCUAUGGUAUUCCUUAGGGCAUGCCUGUUCGAGCGUCACUACACACCUUAUCACAAUAUUUGUGGUCUUGGCAGGAGUGAAUUGCUGGUCUAUGGAAGUAUUCCAGCAGUACACAAUGCUAAAAAAUAUGGGAAGGUUACCAGAUAUGAACAACAGACUUUGUAAAUGGUUGUAGGACCUAGAUCAGUCACAAGUCAUGUCUGGUCCCUUACCUUAAGGACCCCCAUCCUAGAUGAACUAUGGGUUGACCUCGGAUCAGGUAGGAAUACCCGCUGAACUUAAGCAUAUCAAUAAGCGGAGGA